AUGUGGGGAAUAGACGCUGUCAGCCCCAUUCACCUUUCAGCUUUUUUUUCCACAGCUCAUUUGUUCGUAAAGAGAAAUAGGCUAUCAUAUACGCGUCUCCGACUAUUCCCUGAAUGCAGCAUAAUUUUCAACGGGAUUCUCCUUUUUCACCAUCCGCGCAGUGUUCCCAACCGGUUCGCCUGUAUUCGGCGGAUGCCCUUGUAUGCCCUCUGUAACAGCGGAUAGUGAAGCUGCCCUCUGAGUUCGUGGAACAAAGCAGAAAAUAAAGUUGCUGCCUGCAAAGUGCUGCAGUAGGUGGCUUUAACAUUCCCAUCCACUUUCAGCUCCCGCUAACCUUGCUGAGCUCUGACAUCAUCCUGGAACAAUGUCAGAUCCAUGUAGAUGAAUAUAAUUAAACAAGCGCUUAUCAUCCAGCCGGGGAAAGUUUAGUGGCAGGUCAACCAUGUUUGCCUCUCUCUCAGCUGAAGGUCGGACGAGGGUUAGACAGGCAGUUUGCAGGCUGGAAGGUAUGUGAAAGACACAAAACACAGACUAGGCCAACACAAGAACAUUUUCCAGAGCACAAAAAGUCUAUUUUUACACUAGCUCGUUAUUUACAUUGAGCUCUGUCGGGCCAGACUAUAUUGGAACAUUGAGUAACGAUGUCAAAUUUACCACAUUAUCUACAGUUUCCUCUGAAAUUCCACAUUUAUAAGUAUAAAAACAAAAUAAAUUAAAUUGUGAUCUUUUAUACUGUUGUAUAAAUAGUUGUAACAAUAACUGAAAUCAUUGUGUAUUUUAGUGAAGACUUUUAAGAAUUAUAGUCAGAUUAAUUUAUCAUAUGUAUUUGCGCUGCCAGCAAAUACAUUUUAUUUUAUUUACAUUCUAUUUUAUUCAUAUUAAUUACCUGAUAAUUAAUCAAAUUAAUCAAUAAAUGCUAAAAAAGCACAGUGUAAUUCAGUAUCAUUAUUUUAACAGUGAAAGCAUUGAAUAGAUAAUUUAUAAAGUGUUAGAAGUCAAUAUAUUGUUUGUUCUAUUUCCAUAUCAGUGAACAUAAACCAAUCACUGGCUGACAGUUCACAGUAAUGUUUUGCAAUUGAUUUUGUUGUUCUGCUCAUGGUAGACAUGUUUAUAGUAUUCUGUCUGCUAUGCUUUAAAAUAGAUGGCCUACGUAAAGUACCGUCUUUGGUUGUCAGCAUCUCAUGCCAUUUGGGUCACAUUUAAGACGACGUUUUGAAGUUUAAAGUAGUUAAACUUUUUUUCAAAAUCAUCUUGCGUUACAUUGUACAGCACUCCAUUUAGCUAUUUUUUAAUGCAAGAACAUGUGACCUGAGAAGUUCACAAGUUUUAUCACAUUUUUUUUUUAUUACAGUUCCAAAUCUUCAGCUGUUUACACUGUAUUUUAAUGUGAAUUUAAAUAGACUGCAAUAACAUAUAGGUGACUAUUGAUGUUGAUGAGUUGAAAUUGAGAACUGUAAUAACAAGCACCAUUUGCUACCUAACAAGUGAGUAAACAUGUGGUUCCAAAAUGAGGCAACCUGUCACAGCCAAAGCCACGGUGUUAGGUCUCUGCUUUGAAUUCUAGCGAGUUCCAGCGAAACCAUUUGCUUAAGAUAGCAUGAGGCACAAUAUGUUACUUAAUAAGGCAAGGGAUUUUUAGAGUCCUCCGCCAUUAGCCGCUGAAAUAAUCUCCUCCCUGAAUGGGAAAAGGCAGCAGUGAAGGGAGUAAAAACGAGUGCGCUGCAUAGCCUUUGGAUAGGAGCAGUAUUUAAUUAAGAUCAGCCUGUCUCACAUACAUGCUGGCUGAUAAGGGCUCCAAAGCACAUCUGGCAAUAUGAGAGCUUGAUCUCUCUUUGCUGGGGUUAAUGAAGGUGGUCUCUGCUGAGUUAUUUGAUAAAACUCAGCUGAACUUUUCUUUUGUCCAGUCAAAAAAAGUGGAAGACUAUAUGUGACCUAUUUUCUCCAGCACAAAGCAAAGAGUCAUAGUGAAAUACGUUUAAAGGGCUUGGAAUGGAAUUCGGAAACUUGUGAAAUAGAAUUACAUUGAUCUGAAAGGAUAUUAGUAUUUUCAGAUAAGAUAUCUGGCAACAUGUUUUCAGCCAUACCAGGCUGGGAUGAUGAACAACGCUAAAUUCCGUCCCCUCCUGAUCACCCUCCUGAGGUUAAACUAAAAACUGCUCUAUGCAGGCUAAAGCACACCCAAGUGCAGGACAAGAACAGCUGGGUACCAGCACAGCCACGAUUGGCAGGGUGUAGGGUUUCAUCUGCCGAGGGGGUCAAUUCUACUUCCUCGGAAGAGGGCCCGGGCCUCUGAGAAUCUGUCAUCGUUCACCUUGUAAAAGCUCUGCAUGUAUCUGUUUUUGACCUCCCAGAAAAAGCCAUCUAUCUAGGGUGAGCAUCUAUGAAGUGUUA
rnacentral:lncRNA from 1 species